CGAGCAGAUUGGGCAGUCGCGGGUGGACUUGUUCCACGCGAGGAAAGUCCGAGCUUCACAGAGCAGGGUAACGGCUAACGGCCGCCGAGGGUGACCUUAGGGAAAGUGCAACAGAGAGAUACCGCCAACAUUGUUGGUAAGGGUGGAAAGGUGAGGUAAGAGCUCACCGGCAUACAGGAGACUGUAUGGCCAUGCAAACCCUAUCCGAAGCAACACCGACCGAAGAUGCUAGCUCGGCAAAUUCUUCAACGGGUGGCUAAAGUUUUGUGGCAACACAAAGCGUAGAAAGAUGAUUGCCUUAAAUGACAGAACUCGGCUUACAGAUCUGGUCGCUAU
rnacentral:RNase_P_RNA from 1 species